CUGACGUACUGUCAGGUUGGAACUUUCCCUGCUACCCAAGUUUAUAAAGAAUAGCUGAACAAGUUGACCACAACAGCAAAGACUAAUGAUAUGGAAACCAGCAUCAGAGGUGGGAUAUUUGAGUGUCUGUGGAGGUCCCUGAGAAGAGUCUGGAGACUCCUGUGCUGCCGUGGACCUGAUGAGUCGGAAAUAAAACUUUCAGUGGAAGAAACAUCACCAUUAUUUAAUGGCCAUAGCUCUGUCCAUCCAUGGUAAAGACCAAGUUGUUUUCAUCACUGAG